AAGAAUAACGACUUCGGUAGUGAACAAAAGCAUGUACCAUAGGGAGCUACGAAGCACCUUCGUUGCGAAGAAUACAUUCUUCAAAUUAUCGCAUUAACCAACACUGCUGUGUAAGAGUAACAAACUAUGCGCAGCAUAGAAUACAAAGGCACGUUUUAAUUUCUGGAUGAAAAUUUGGAUCACCGAUGGAUGAAUCGGAGGAGAAGAAUUCAGAGUAAGCAGCUUCCGGAGACAGGAGGGGGUCGUCGCCUAUAUCCACACCGAGUGUUUUUUACCACCUACGUUCUCCACCUUUUGCCUCCGGACCGGUACAAAGGUCCCGCGAUCCUCGUUAACGAGGAGAUCCGCGACAGUUUUUCCUUCCCCCCUUUGGAUCCCUUUU